rnacentral:rRNA from 1 species
UACGAAGGGGGCUAGCGUUGUUCGGAAUUACUGGGCGUAAAGCGUGCGUAGGUUGCUCGACAAGUCAGUGGUGAAAUCCCAGAGCUUAACUCUGGAACUGCCAUUGAAACUGUCGAGCUGGAAUCUCAGAGGGGAUAGCGGAAUUCCAAAUGUAGGGGUGAAAUCCGUAGAUAUUUGGAGGAACACCGGUGGCGAAGGCGGCUAUCUGGAUGAGUAUUGACACUGAGGCUCGAAAGCGUGGGGAUCAAACAGG